rnacentral:rRNA from 1 species
GAUGAACGCUGGCGGCGUGCCUAAUACAUGCAAGUCGAGCGAACAGACGAGGAGCUUGCUCCUCUGACGUUAGCGGCGGACGGGUGAGUAACACGUGGAUAACCUACCUAUAAGACUGGGAUAACUUCGGGAAACCGGAGCUAAUACCGGAUAAUAUAUUGAACCGCAUGGUUCAAUAGUGAAAGACGGUUUUGCUGUCACUUAUAGAUGGAUCCGCGCCGCAUUAGCUAGUUGGUAAGGUAACGGCUUACCAAGGCAACGAUGCGUAGCCGACCUGAGAGGGUGAUCGGCCACACUGGAACGUAGACACGGUCCAGACUCCUGCGGGAGGCAGCAGUAGGGAAUCGUCCGCAAUGGGCGAAAGCCUGACAGAGCAACGCCGCGUGAGUGAUGAAGGUCUUCGGAUCGUAAAACUCUGUUAUUAGGGAAGAACAAAUGUGUAAGUAACUAUGCACGUCUUGACGGUACCUAAUCAGAAAGCCACGGCUAACUACGUG